CUGGUUAUAUUCUUAUCGACAUGUCAUAAUACAUUUACAUAAACUACCGAUUGCUUGACUGUAAAACCACAUACAUACGUUGAUUAGAAAAAAAAUUAUAUAACCGACAAAUACAAUAAGUUUCGCCUUUUAGGGUUUUUGAACACUGAUCACAAUGCUCGAUGAAUAAGCAUUGGUUCGGUACUACCUAGCUAGAAUAACUUGGUGAACCAUUUUAAGAAAUUUCUUGAAGACUUUGCAUUACCAAUUUUUGAGCCAAUCCAAACCUAGACAAGUCAUAUGUACAUAAAGACGGAAAAAGAAAGCUUUUUGAUAAACGAGUAAUUGGUUAGGCAACCAUAACUUUCCUAGAUGAAUGCCUAUUGAACCCAAGGUGGCUAGGAUUAUCCAAAAGAGGAACCACGAUUAUGGAGACGUUAAACAUAUCGAUUUCCUUUUACAAUCAUUUUUGAUUUGAUUUCUAAUGCUAAUUUAGAUAUGCUAUUCUGAAAUUGAUAUUUAACAACAAGAGCAUAUAUCGUCAGAAACUAGAAAAUCUCCAAACCAACCUCAUUCCUAUAGUCCUAUUCGAACUCAGAGGAUCGAUGUUUUUGAUCUUUAUGGAUCCGGAGACAUAUCAUGAAAGUAAG
rnacentral:lncRNA from 1 species